GAAGGACGUGCUAAUCUGCGAUAAGCGCCGGUAAGGUGAUAUGAACCGUUAUAACCGGCGAUUUCCGAAUGGGGAAACCCAGUGUGACUCGUCACACUAUCAUUAACUGAAUCCAUAGGUUAAUGAGGCGAACCGGGGGAACUGAAACAUCUAAGUACCCCGAGGAAAAGAAAUCAACCGAGAUUCCCCCAGUAGCGGCGAGCGAACGGGGAGGAGCCCAGAGCCUGAAUCAGCAUGUGUGUUAGUGGAAGCGUCUGGAAAGGCGCGCGAUACAGGGUGACAGCCCCGUACACAAAAGCGCAUGUGCUGUGAGCUCGAUGAGUAGGGCGGGACACGUGGUAUCCUGUCUGAAUAUGGGGGGACCAUCCUCCAAGGCUAAAUACUCCUGACUGACCGAUAGUGAACCAGUACCGUGAGGGAAAGGCGAAAAGA
rnacentral:rRNA from 1 species